rnacentral:rRNA from 1 species
AGUGAACGCUGGCGGUAGGCCUAACACAUGCAAGUCGAACGGCAGCACAGUAAGAGCUUGCUCUUACGGGUGGCGAGUGGCGGACGGGUGAGGAAUACAUCGGAAUCUACUUUUUCGUGGGGGAUAACGUAGGGAAACUUACGCUAAUACCGCAUACGACCUACGGGUGAAAGCAGGGGAUCUUCGGACCUUGCGCGAUUGAAUGAGCCGAUGUCGGAUUAGCUAGUUGGCGGGGUAAAGGCCCACCAAGGCGGCGAUCCGUAGCUGGUCUGAGAGGGUGAACAGCCACACUGGAACUGAGACACGGUCCAGACUCCGACGGGAGGCAGCAGUGGGGAAUAUUGGACAAUGGGCGCAAGCCUGAUCCAGCCAUACCGCGUGGGUGAAGAAGGCCUUCGGGUUGUAAAGCCCUUUUGUUGGGAAAGAAAAGCAGCAGGUUAAUACCCCGCUGUUCUGACGGUACCCAAAGAAUAAGCACCGGCUAACUUCGUG